GGAGACAUGAGACAGCAAUCAGUAUGUAUAAGAUGUACAUUGGUUCCAUCUGGAAAGGGGACAACUCGAGGUGAAGGCGGGACAACUCAAAGCGCGGAGGGGGCUUCCAGAUCAUAGGUCCACCCUGAUUUCAGCGGGCGUUCCUGGGUCUUGUAUGCACUAGGUGCCCUCAAUGCUUGGCAACUGGAAUGGGUUAGCCUGGAGGCAUUUAGGCUGUCCUUCUACAACCACAGAAGAGCCAUCACUGGCAGAGAGAUCCUUGGCGCAGUUAAGCAGAGAUCUUCUCAGAAGAGCUUUUGAAUAAAUGAAGUUGUUCAGAAUGGCCUUGUUAAAAUGACUCACUUGUCAAAAAACUAGAUGUGUUGGAAGGCUGGGUUGGAAGACAAGAUGUCUGAGAAGCUGUCCUGCUGCAUGAGGAGUUUCAUUGCUACACACCUAGUCUCUGGGUCCUGUGUUUUUGGCCUCCAGCUUACUUCGUGAACAUAAUAAAGGAAAGGCAUUUUCUCUUGUGC
rnacentral:lncRNA from 1 species